CCUACGGGCGGCAGCAGUGGGGAAUAUUGGACAAUGGGGGCAACCCUGAUCCAGCCAUGCCGCGUGUGUGAAGAAGGCCCUCGGGUUGUAAAGCACUUUCAGUGAGGAAGAACGCCUGGUGGUUAAUACCCAUCAGGAAAGACAUCACUCACAGAAGAAGCACCGGCUAACUCCGUGCCAGCAGCCGCGGUAAUACGGAGGGUGCGAGCGUUAAUCGGAAUUACUGGGCGUAAAGCGCGCGUAGGUGGCUUGAUAAGCCGGUUGUGAAAGCCCCGGGCUCAACCUGGGAACGGCAUCCGGAACUGUCAAGCUAGAGUGCAGGAGAGGAAGGUAGAAUUCCCGGUGUAGCGGUGAAAUGCGUAGAGAUCGGGAGGAAUACCAGUGGCGAAGGCGGCCUUCUGGACUGAUACUGACACUGAGGUGCGAAAGCGUGGGUAGCAAACAGGAUUAGAUACCCUGGUAGUC
rnacentral:rRNA from 1 species